rfam:Picea glauca, whole genome shotgun sequence.
ACAUGACUACAACAUAGCAUUAAAGCAAUGGAUGCCAUUAGAAAUAUGCAGUUAAGCAUGCUCAAGCUAGAGUAGUACUGGAAUGGGUGACCACUUGGGAAGUCCUAGUGUUUUACAUGCC